CGCGUAGGCGGCCCGCUAAGUCGAACGUGAAAUCCCCGAGCUCAACUCGGGAACUGCGUCCGAUACUGGCGGGCUUGAAUCCGGGAGAGGGAUGCGGAAUUCCAGGUGUAGCGGUGAAGUGCGUAGAUAUCUGGAGGAACACCGGUGGCGAAGGCGGCAUCCUGGACCGGCAUUGACGCUGAGGCGCGAAAGCUAGGGGAGCAAACG
rnacentral:rRNA from 1 species